rnacentral:lncRNA from 1 species
CUGGGGCUAAGCUAAUACUAAAAGAAUGAAGGAGCUGGACUUGGAGAUCUCUCUCACCUCUGAAGUUGUGUUGAAAAGAAGAUCAAGAAGUUUAGACAGAGACUUGGAUCAUCAACCAAUUCUAAUUCUGCUACUUAGAGAAAAAUCCAACUAACAAAAUUAUUAGGACCAACAUCACUAAGAAUGCUGGUUGAUAUCUUAUGCAUGCUCUUUGAUUAUAGAUAUAGUUUUGGUUAAUAAAUAUAUAAAAUGGGUAGCUAUGCUCAAAAGCAACACCUUCAUUUUGGUGCUAGUUGUCUUCUAAACAAACUAAUAUUAUUCGAGCUAAAGAGAAAAAAAAAAACAAAAACAGGAAACAUGAAAAGCAGUGGCAUUAAACCAGCUCACUUUGAGUUUUCUGGACAUUCCAUUUUGCAUACAUCUCUCUUUCCAUUUUCAUUUAUAUAGGAGUUAUGCCAAAAACACUAGUUUACCAAAUGAUGUGAUCUAUUUCUUUCUCAUCACAAAACCAUCUAAACAUUCAUUUCAGUAAAAUAUCUCUCAGGCAUUUAACUUAAGUGUUAAACUGGUACUUUCUCAGAGUUCAAUUUGAGGUGGAUAAGACCAUAGUAAUUCAAUACAGCAAGUGUCACUGUAAGGGAAGCCCUCAGGUGGUCUCCCUAAUUAUUUCAUACUAAUUAGCUCAGAUAGUAAAAGGUUCUGUUUUAUUACCUUGAUGCAAGUGGCUGAUGCUUUGGGACAGUUAAUUGUGCUACAUUUCAUUUUUUAAAUGAAAAUGUCAUUACCUGGAUAUAGCUUUUUAUUGUGCUUUAAUAUUGUCAAUAGGUAAAACAUUACAGGAAAAAAGAUUAUUUUUCAAAUUUCUUAGCAUUGAUAGCUAAAUUGAAAUUUACUUUCUAUUUUUUAAAUAUUGAACUUCAUUGAUCAAACACUGUUCUGGUAUUUAGCUUCACAUUGUUAAAACCAGAGACAAAGGCCACAUAAACGGAAACUUUAGCGAGAAAACAUUAGCUGUGUUUUACCUUACAUGGUGAAUAUGUAUUUAAUUUUCUCUUCACUACUUAAAUAACUCAAAUACUAAUUCCAGGGUGCUUUUUAAGUUCUUACUAAUCCUAAGUAUUUAGUUCUGUGAUCAUUUUUAUCUUUGAAUAACAGUCAUCAUUCUCCCUUCCUGCAUUGUCAUAACCGUCAUGUUUCCAUGGAAACUGUGGAGAAAGAAUAAAAUGGUAAAACACCUCCAUUUAGGUCUAAGUUGACAGGGUUGUUUUUUAUUAGGAGCUUCAAUUAUUUAGACAGAUAAGAAUAUGUGCAGUGGCCUAAUAAAUGAUAUAGAAUAAUAGUCGAUCUUCAAAAACAGGAAAUUAUGUUUCCAGCUAAUAGAACUUAGCAAUUUCUGUUAAGAACUAGUUAUUGGUGGUGAGUCUUGG